CGUGGGGUAAUCCGAAACGUUUUUGUUGCGGAAUUUGGUACUCAGGCUGAUAGGGCUAGAGUGAUCGAGGGUUCGCCAUGGAUGGUGGGAAAGCAUGCGGUGCUCCUGAAGAUUUUUGACCAGAAUAUUCAGCCCCUUUAGGUUCAGUUUGAUCGCUUAGCGAUCUGGGCUCGCAUUAUGCAUCUCCCACCGAGACUGAUGAAAGCUAAGCUGAGAAUGGAGUUUGCCAAACCGGUUGGGCGGAUUUUGAGGAUGGAUUCAGAUGCUGAUGGUCGCUGUUGGGGUGGUUUCAUGAAGGUGAGGACGGAGAUUGAUGUUCGUGAGCCGAUCGUCCGCUACAUCACUGUGGCCUCUCUCAAAUUGAAGAGUACUGAAACUUUCUCUGUGAUGUAUGAGAGGCUGUCGUUCUUCUGCUUCUCUUGUGGCAUCCUUGGUCAUUCCACGAUUAUGUGUCCUACUCCAGGUUUGAGGGAUGAAAACGGUGAUCUUCUUUAUGCCGCCAAGAGACUGUGUGUCAAUGAUGAGCAUCCUCGGAGAUCCGGGGGUUUAAGGUCUAGCAUGGCUUCGUCUUCGGCUCAUGGGGCUGGUGUUGGUGGUUUUGGUAAUUCUCAGACUGCCGCCCCAGGCCGCGGUGUAUCACGUGCACCCGUUGGAAUGGAUGUUAUUGUGGGGGAGAUCUCACCUCCUAUCAAACAAGGGGGCUGCUCGUGGCCGUGGGCGUUCUUCACGGGGUCGUGGUAG
rnacentral:rRNA from 1 species